GUGAUGUUCUGUGAGCACAGGACAUUUCCUGACUGAGGUGUAGCACAGAGCAGGUGAUCUAGACACCAUGUUCACACUCGGUCAUUUUGAGGAGAGAAUUCUGUUUGAAAAAGAAAUAGUUGUUUUGUUUGUUGUUUUUUUUACACUAGUUAGUGCAUUUAGUUUCAUUUACUGAAGUGAGAAAAGCAGAACUUACAUGAAAAAACAGAAGUUUUCUUAGAGAUGGGAAGAUCAUGCUUUCAGCUCUAAAUAAAAGAGGGGAAAAAAUCCAUUCAGCUGGUCAUUUAAGGCUGGAUCCUGCUCAUCGAAAUCUGCUUCACCACCAAGGAAGUCACACACCGUCUUGCUGUCUCUGUAUCGCCAAAACACAGUCUGCGGCUUCUGUUCGAGUGAACACGGCUGGAUCCUGCUCAUCGAAAUCUGCUUCACCACCAAGGAAGUCACACACCGUCCUGUCAUCUCUGUAUCGCCAAAACACAGUCUGCGGCUUCUGUUUGAGUUUACAC